rnacentral:misc_RNA from 1 species
UCUCCGUUGGUGAACCAGCGGAGGGAUCAUUAUCGAGUUAUUCAACUCCCAAACCCUAUGUGAACUUACCACUUGUUGCUUCGGCGCGCGCUUCGGCGCCGCCGAGGACACUUAAACUCUUUGUUUUUAUAAGCAUUUCUGAGUGGCCGAAAGGCAAAAUACAAAUGAAUCAAAACUUUCAACAACGGAUCCCUUGGUUCUG